ACAAGCCUGAGAAACGGCUAGUAGGACUAAGGUCUGCAGCAGGCGCGAAACUUACACAAUGCUCGAUUGUUGAUAAAGAGCGAUGUAGUGAAGAAAAAUAACGAUGUACUUACAUUUAAACAUGUUAGUACAAUUGGAAUGAGACGACUUUAAAGCGGUCAGUCGAGUAACAAAUGGAGGGCAAGUCUGGUGCCAGCAGCCGCGGUAAUUCCAGCUCCAUUAGCAUACAUUAAAGUUGUUGCGGUUAAAAAGCUCGUAGUUGAAUUUUUGGCGGCCUUGUAGGCGGCCUGGCCGUGAAGUCGCAGUGUGUUUCACGACCAUUGCGAUGGCCUGGUCUGCCCUGUGUAGGUCGCCGUUUCGUCACUUAAUCGAGUGCGAAGCGUGGUGGCUCGAGGCUCUUCGGAGUCUUUCGGAACACCAAGUUUACCUUGAGAAAAUUAGAGUGCUCACAGCAGGCAGUUGGGGUGUAAAAGCCCCUUUAUGCUUGAAUAAUGUUGCAUGGAAUAAUAGAAUACGGCCUCGGUUCUAUUCUGUUGGUCUUAUAGAACAACAAACAAGUUGGCGGGUGCGCUAACGUGUUGCUUGCCGCGGGGCGGGCGGCGGCCAGUCGUCUGGGGCCUCAAAAUCCCAGCACCUCCCGCCGUCAACCAUCUAAACUGCGCCAAAUAACAUAGCACCGCCGCCAACUGAGGCAAUGGUUAAAAGAAAUAGUCGCGGCGGCAUCAGUACUGCAUCGUGAGAG
rnacentral:rRNA from 1 species